rnacentral:rRNA from 1 species
AUGACGACCGGCGCACGGGUGCGUAACGCGUAUAGAACCUACCUUUUACAGAGGAAUAGCCUUUAGAAAUGAAGAUUAAUGCCUCAUAGUAUUGUAGACUGGCAUCAGUUUAUAAUUAAAGAUUUAUCGGUAAAAGAUGGCUAUGCGUCCUAUUAGUUAGUUGGUAAGGUAACGGCUUACCAAGACAGCGAUAGGUAGGGGUCCUGAGAGGGAGAUCCCCCACACUGGUACUGAGACACGGACCAGACUCCUACGGGAGGCAGCAGUGAGGAAUAUUGGACAAUGGAGGAGACUCUGAUCCAGCCAUGCCGCGUGUAGGAAGAAUGCCCUAUGGGUUGUAAACUACUUUUAUACAGGAAGAAACACUGGUAUGUAUACCAGCUUGACGGUACUGUAAGAAUAAGGACCGG